UCGUCUGCACAACAGGCUGCUUCCAGAUGGGUGACUUGUGUAACACUGUAUGAGACACCAAGCUGAGGUCCCAGGCUUGCAGAGGAAAUACAAGAAUAAACUGAGACCAAGAGAGGAGAGGAAGUGUAAGGGUAGCUGAGAACAUCCGCUCUAUUGCUGAGAUCCUCAGCCCUUUGUUGUUUCCUGACUCGUACAGCUGACAGGAGCAGAAGACGGGAAAAUGCUAUGGACUCCAUCAAAAUGCUAAUUGCUUAAGCAAGUUUUCUCUUUCUCCUUGAUAAUGGUGCAAAUCUUCUAUAAUAUGAGGCAUCCCAAGACCCGUCCUGUAUGCAUGUCUCUGAUUCCACGCUCAGAGUUUAAGUUCCAACAGGCAGGAAGAUAUCCCUGGCUCAGAUCCCUCCAUUUGUUCUGCAGAAACAUGUCAGGAUGAAGACAAGUCCUGCUCCUUCUCAUAAGUAGUUCCUUUCAAAUCAGUGUGACACACAGGAGAACAGAAGCCUUCAGCGUCAUGCAAUAGGCUGUAGUCAGCAGCGAUAGCAGCUUGCUUAUUUAUAGUACUUUUUCCCUAGAAGAACUCUGAACACAGACAUAAAGGCAAAAUUGAGAAAGUAAAUAGUAAAAGCAAAGCAUUGAUUGCGUAAAGAAGGAGACGCCAGCCUUUGCCUACUGAAUUAGGUGCACCCCUAACUACAAAUGUAUUUGCUUUUAUUGUAAUGGUUCAGAAUCUUAAUGGUUAUCUAAUGUAUUUUUUAUGGGAUGCAUAUAUUUCUUCAAAACUUCAGGAACCGAUCAUGCUUUUAAUUUCAGAGAGAGUUAGAAAAGCUCAUUUAGGGCUCUAGAUUUGCCCUUUAUAUGUACUUAAUUAAAUAUGUAAACAAAAUGCUCAGAAAGCCUGAAGUGGCUGUCACAGAGCUCACACAAAACUAUCAUUCCUUCUCUUUUUGUCCUCGGAGCAGCCAUGAGCUGGGUCAGACAUCAUCUUGAAUUGAACUAAUUGACAGUUUCUUCAGUUUAAGUGGGUUGUAGUUGGCUAGGAGUGUGCUGGCACUUUUGUUUCUCCUGCUAUGAUCCUUUGCCUACACAGUGACAGAGUAGCAACAGCACUGCCACAGCUAUUUCAGCGUUAGCUCUUACCAGGAAAACAGUAUAACAGAGCAUUCAUUUCAGCUUCAAAAUUCCUUUGAAUCACGUUUAUCCUAGUGCAAGAAAAUAGCCUGAGCUUUUUUUCCAGUUCAUGGGAAGCGUUCUAAUCCAUUCUGCACCUCACAUUUAAUGACAUUGCAUAUUUCUGUGGCAUUAAGCCAUGUAAAUUCUCCUUUGAAGAAAUGCUUUGCAGUAUGGCAACGCUGAGAAGCAGAGCUCAUGGGAAUUAAAAUGAUCAGCGCUGUGGAGUCUCCUAAUGUUGCCCCAGCUAUAAAUUCUGAGAUCAUUAUUAUUUUUUAGUGAUGGAGAACACUGUAAACUUUUUGUAAUAGAAAUGCAAACACAGUGUCUGUGAUCUAAACAACUCACUUCAACAUCAGUGCCAUGAAGGAAGACAGAUAAAAAAUCAGAACAGAGAAAGGAAGUUAUAGGAGCAAGCAGACUAAUUUUGACACAGCUACGUGUGCACUGAGUUACCAUAAAACCAACCUGGAAAAAAAAAAACUAUCUAGUUACUUACUAAAGACCUUGCAUAGCAGGUAACAGAGAGAAGAAAGAGACUUUUAGGACUUAUUGUAAACAAUCUGAGCAUGGGGAAAGAUGUGGGGAACACGGGCUGAUGCAUAUAAAUGUAGGCCAGUGAUAUUGCUGGUACUGGAUGAAGUGGGCAUUUCAUCACAGAAUCAUGGAUCCAAGGAAUAUUUCAAGUUGGAUGGGACCCACAAGGAUCUUUGAGUUCAAUCUUUGGCUCUGCAUAGGACUGCCCAACGUCAAACCCUUAGAGCACUGUCCAAAUGCUCCUUGAACUCUGGCAGCUGGGGCCAUGACCACUGCCAUGGGGAGCCUGUCCCAAAGUACAGUUUCAUCUAAUGUUUACUAAAUAAAUUCUGUUUUCUGUU